rnacentral:lncRNA from 1 species
ACAACGGAGGAAAGGUUUCAGCAGCCUGGUUCCAGCAGCCUCUCGGCUCUAAUAAACCAUCGCCUUUCCUGUAACCAUCCAUGUCCCCGUACAGUUCAUUGUAAAGGGGCAUCGGAACCUGAGAAACCCAGCGCCUCAUCUCCAGACUCAGAUCCCGAUCCGUUCUAUCAGUGUCCACUGACAGCUGUCCUAUGCCCCUGGACCUUCCGCCUCACCACAACGACCGAUCUGAUUGUGUGUAGCCUUUAGUUUUCCUUCUGCCCAGACCUUGAGUGCUGAGAUGGCAGGAACCUUCUUAAUCCCCCACAGCCUGCUCAGUGCCACGAAGGAAGCCUCACACAUUGUCCAUUUGGCAAGGACCUGCUGAAUGAACAAAUGGAUUUAACAGUAUUUGUCAGCUGCAUAGGGUGGGUUUAUCAUUCAUCAAACGCGUCUGCGUCUUGGUCCAUGCUUGUUGAGUAUCCUCUGAGGCUGCCUCCACAGGUUCCAGAGGUGAACCAGUCACCAUACGGCUGCUGAUCUCUCAGCCUGAAAGAAGAGACUGACAUCCCCCAGCUCUUUUGUGAUGAAGGAAGACUCUUAAGGAGUUGAGCCUCUCGAGACUCCUACAGACUCUUACAGAUGUUUGGCAACUCUGUUUCCCUCGGACUGGCCAGCUCUUUCAAUGCAGAGCUCAUUUCUGAUUCACAGGAUCCCUUGAUGAAUGGAGGCAUUCUGCACCCUGCCCCAGAAGCACCUGUCUGUCUGCACCUGGGCUCUGAGUCUCUCAGCCCAUCUCUCCUUGCUCUCCUGCCUGUGAUAGCCCUGAGGUCAGCAGGUACAGUCAACGACAGUGGCAAGGCAUGUCAGCAAGGCAUGGCAGUAUGUCAGCAAGGCAUGGCAGCUGCUCACAUGGCCCCCACAGUCAGGAAGCAGAGAGCAAUGCUGCUCCAUCCCCAUCUCUUCUUCGUACAACCCUUCCCUAGCCAUGGGAUGCUGCUGCCUACAUUUAAUCCCACCUCGGUUAACCCAGUCUGCGAGCUCCUUCACAGACAUGCCCAGAUUUGUCUCCAUGGCGAUUCCAAGCUGACAGUCAACGUUUACCACCACGGUUGCUAGAUCAGGUGCCCCAGUUCCCAGUGUCUAGCCAAGGGCUUGGGUUGCUGCAGAGGCCCAAGCUUGUGUUCGCUGAAGCAGCAUGGCUGAAGCUCGGGUGCUGUGCAAAAACAGAGCGCUGCUUCCGAAGAGUAGGGCCAGUGCCUGGCACUGCGGGUGCGGGUGCGGGUGCGGGUGCGGGUGCGGGUGCGGGUGCGGGUGCGGGUGCGGGUGCGGGUGCGCUGAGCAUCUCGGCAGGGCCUCCCAGAGCACUGCUGCGCGCUGCCUAGCGGGCCGCGGAGGAUCCCCCCUGCGGUCUCCCGGGGCGCGACCUCCUGUACCUGCACGGGGGACCCGUUUCCCGGCGGCCGCCGGGCGGCAGGAAGCCGGGCAUUGUUCCCUGGCAGAGGCCGGAGGGGAGUUCCCGGUUCGCGCGCACUGGGGAGAAGAGAGCAGCGCCCGCCUGCAACACGCGCUCCGCUGACCCCUGGCAUCCGCUCAGCCCUGAAGCUCGCUCAUGGAUCUAGGCUCCUGUUUCUGCGGCUUCCUGUUCUACCUGUGUUCUACUGUCUCUGGCCCUGACUUGGGAGCUCCAGGCUGAUCUCUGACCUCAGGUUCUGAUUGUUGUCUGCCUUGGCUUUCCAUUCGACCGACCGACUGUGUGACUCUGGCCAAACCUCUUGCCUUUCCUGAGCCAGCAGGAUUCUUCUUCAAACAAGAGCCAACCUGAGAAGCCCAGGAUGGAUUUGUGACUAGCAAAGGUGGAAGGUGGCAAGGAAGGGGCUGAUGCUUGAGUCCCCUGUCCCCUGGUGGUGGCCCUGGACAGUCCUGCAGAUCCCUAGUUUUGAAGAACAUAGUUUGAAAACCCACUUUCUUGAUUUUUUUCCAAAAUAUUUUUUUCCUCC